UACGUAGGUGGCAAGCGUUGUCCGGAUUUAUUGGGUUUAAAGGGUGCGUAGGCGGUUCUUUAAGUCAGUGCUGAAAUACUCCAGCUUAACUGGAGGGGUGGCAUUGAUACUGGGGGACUUGAAUGAAGUCGAGGUAGGCGGAAUUGACGGUGUAGCGGUGAAAUGCUUAGAUAUCGUCAAGAACACCGAUAGUGAAGACAGCUUACUAGGCUUAUAUUGACGCUGAGGCACGAAAGUGUGGGGAUCAAACAGG
rnacentral:rRNA from 1 species